rnacentral:rRNA from 1 species
AGAGUUUGAUCCUGGCUCAGAACGAACGCUGGCGGCAUGCCUAACACAUGCAAGUCGAACGAGACCUUCGGGUCUAGUGGCGCACGGGUGCGUAACGCGUGGGAAUCUGCCCUUGGGUUCGGAACAACAGUUAGAAAUGACUGCUAAUACCGGAUGAUGACUUCGGUCCAAAGAUUUAUCGCCCAAGGAUGAGCCCGCGUCGGGUUAGCUUGUUGGUGAGGUAAAAGCUCACCAAGGCGACGAUCCGUAGCUGGUCUGAGAGGAUGAUCAGCCACACUGGGACUGAGACACGGCCCAGACUCCUACGGGAGGCAGCAGUGGGGAAUAUUGGACAAUGGGCGAAAGCCUGAUCCAGCAAUGCCGCGUGAGUGAUGAAGGCCUUAGGGUUGUAAAGCUCUUUUACCCGGGAUGAUAAUGACAGUACCGGGAGAAUAAGCCCCGGCUAACUCCGUGCCAGCAGCCGCGGUA